AUCCUUUAUGAGAGGCAAUUUCAUAGUCUAUGAAGUGUAUCUGAGACGUGAUUAUUGCUGGUUGAAAACUUAACCCAAUAUCCACUACUGGAUGACUUGAAAUACAGUCAGCUGUGGCAAUUUUAUUGGUCUUUCAGGAGA